CGUAGGUAUCUGUAUUUCAUAGAUAUAGUUGGUAUAUUGCAGUUCAGAUAAUUCCCGGUUUAAUAGUAAUUUAUUUUAUUUUUGUGAAGAGUCGUGUUUUAUGUGAAAUUCUCGUUCAAAUAAUUAAAGUGUCCCGAAUAAUGAGGAUACAUCACAAUAGCUAUUCUACGUAUCAAAUUUGAAUUCAAUGCAAACAGUUCAAUCAUUGCAUACGGAUAACGAUUCUGAGCAAAGACGGUUUGUCAGCUUAUAUUGCCAACGAAACUCUAACGGACACCUCCAUUAGGAGGUGCUAUUAAGCAGAAACCUCUUAAAAGUGGAUGUUUUCAAGAGAGCCAACUACAAACUUUCUACAAUUUGAACCAUCUGAAUAGUGGACACCUUCGAAAAGCACACAAAAUGUC